AUUUGACGUCGUAUUUUUGAGUUCCCAGUUGUUUUGAACGUGUCAUUAGUAGUAGUAGUGGGUAGGCUUUAUGUAUUCAUGCAUAUAUGUUGUGUGGUCAAUGUAAACGGGGGGAGAUGUCAGUGUCUGAAGGAGGGCCACUGUUGUGCAUUGCAGACUUCUUUCUUGAAGUGCAAGAGAUCUGUGGUGAGAUCAUCAGUGACAGCAAUGACAUUAAUUCAACACUUAAUCCUUAUGUAUCGAACUGACUAGUUUCUGAUCUACCUCGAUUUUUUACUUAACACUUAUUUUUCUUAAAACUGUAUUGUUGGUUAAGGGCUUGUAAGUAAGCAUUUCACCAUAAGGUCUACAGCUGUUGUAUUCGGCGCAUGUGACAAAUACGAUUUCAUUUGAGAUAACAGGUCUAGAUUCCGGGGCAGGAAAGGCUAUUAAUGGACCAACGUUGGAAAUCUCUGGAACAAUGACAGCACUGAAAUUAUUAAUUGUAAAUAGUAGCUUAACUAACUUAAAAGGGUCAGUAUGGGGAUUGUAAUUUAUUAUGCUAACUUCACCUGAGAACGUGAUUGAGGUUGUUCUGUAGAGAAGAUAGUCACUGGUGUAAAGUACUUAAGUAAAAAUACUUUAAAAUACUACUUGUUGUUUUUUGGGGGUAUCUGUACUUUACUUUUGAUAUUUUUGGCAACUUUUACUCUGCUACAUUCCUAAUGAAAAGAAUAUACUUUUUACACCAUACAUUUUCCCUGACACCCAAAGUACUUGUUACAUUUUGACAGGAAAAUUGUCAAAUUCACACUUAUCAAGAGAACAUCCCUACUGCCUCUGAUCUGGUGGACUCACUAAACA
ensembl:lncRNA